CCUAAAAAAUCGAAUAGGGAAACAAAACCCCCAUUUCAUUCCUGCAAAAACUGAAACUCUCUCCCAUGACACCGAUUCUAAUCUCCUCUAAUGUCUCUGGUUUUCAAUAACUCCUCUGUUAUCCAUCUUGCUUUCAAUCUCUCUCUGAUAUAGGAAUUAGUGCGUCUUUACACCUUUGACUCUUCAAUUCGAAAAUGGCUGCUUCUACCUUUAACCCUUCUUUCUGCAACUCACGGACUGACCUUAACGACGAAGGUUUUGCGCGUCGAUUGUUGUCUCGGCAGAGCUUUGGUGUUUGGGAGAGUAUUGUAUAAGAACAGAAAUGGAUUGUUGGGUCCAAAGCGAUUCGAAUUGAGCUGUUCUAGAGAGAGAGAGAGAGAGAGAGAGAGAGAGAGAGAGAUGGAUGUCAACGCCUCUGCUGUGGUUGAAGGGGUUGCUGAAUGCUUUGAUGAUGGUAAAUGAAGCAGCCCGGUAUUUCAACUCUCUUGAUGAAUAUUACUCAGAAUGAAUUCGAUCCUUUUGUUGCGGUCAGUAGUCCUCUUUACCAGACGGCUACAUUUAAGCAGGUAUUUGGUACUUCUAAUGUUCAAAAUGAGUCAGCAUUACAAGAAGAACAAGAGAAAGCUUGGGUUGAAUUUGCCAUUCCCAUUAAACAAUGGAACUGCUUAUCCCAUCUCAGCAAACACCACGGAACCCACACCUCGUUUUUCAGGCAGGAUUAUUGCCACGCCCCUUAUUAGGGCCUACUAGGAUGGUACCAGUGCGGUAAACAGAAUUGAAGCUGAGUUCCAAAGAUUUGGUGAAGUAAUUUCUCAAAUUGCUUAUCUAACUGGAGUUUUUGUUCCAUCCGAUGCAAUACCCUAUUGUGAAUGGUUGGAUUUGGGAGGAUAUGUGAAUGCCAUGAAGUCUGCUGCUAAGUAGACUCUCUAAUUGGAAAUUGGUUGGAUGAACAUCGGACAGUCGAGAUGACAUUGGCACAAUCCUUGAUGCCAUGUCAGUCAUUGAAUCCUCGUUGUUCCACAACAUUCGUCACAGAGGAUUUUUUUUGGAUAAGACACCAAGGUCUCUGGACGAAAAUGAGUUCGACUUCAUUGAUGUGAUGCUAUCCAUCAUACUUGAGGACAAUUUGAUAUUUAGUUAUGAUCGUAAUACUGUGAUCAAAGCAGCUGUACUGGUAUGUGUAUAUGUACCUUUCAAUUUGUUCUCAAAUUUUAUAAAUGUUGUUAAAGCAUUUGACCUUUAUAAUCCUCCAAUAUUGAUUUUUUUUUCUUGCUUGCU